CCUACGGGAGGCAGCAGUAGGGAAUCUUCGGCAAUGGGCGAAAGCCUGACCGAGCAAAGCCGCGUGAAUGAAGAAGGCCUUCGGGUUGUAAAAUUCUGUUAUACGGGAAGCAAGGUGGUAGGAGGAAGUGACUAUCAAUUGACGGUACCUUAUGAGAAAGCCACGGCUAACUACGUGCCAGCAGCCGCGGUAAGACGUAGGUGGCAAGCGUUAUCCGGAAUUAUUGGGCGGAAAGAGCGCGCAGGUGGUUAAUUUAGUCCGAUGGGAAAGCCCACGGGUUAAACGUGGGGGGUCAUUGGAAACUGGUUGACUUGAGUGCAGAAGAGGGAAGUGGAAUUCGAUGUGUAGCGGUGAAAUGCGUAGAGAUAUGGAAGAACACCAGUGGCGAAGGCGGCUUCCUGGUCUGCAACUGACACUGAGGCGCGAAAGCGUGGGGAGCAAACAGGAUUAGAUACCCGGGUAGUC
rnacentral:rRNA from 1 species